rnacentral:ncRNA from 12 species
GGGUCCGGGGCUAUGUAGCCCCGGAGGUCAACGCGGAUGGUCGGGCCGCCAUCCG